UCUGAAUUCUAAUAGAUUUUUUUGUUUAGAAGUUAGGAUAUCUAAUUUUCUAUUAACUAAAUUUUUAGUUUUGAAUUUUUCAUUUGAAUUUCAUUAUUUUAUAAAAUGGCGUUAAAUUUGACUGUGAAAAUACACCCAGUUGUAUUAUUUCAAAUUGUGGAUGCUUACGAACGAAGAAAUAUUGAUGCCCAUCGAGUAAUAGGAACAUUAAUGGGUUUGUGAAAAAGAACAAUUUAUCUAAAUAAUAAUCGUUAUGUAAUACUUUGACAAUAUUUGUAUUGAUAUUGCAUCUGUAUGUCUAGGUACGGACGACAAAGGUGUAGUUGAAGUAACCAAUUCUUUUGGAGUUCCUCACAAAGAAUAUGAAGACACUGUAAGUAAAUAAUAAUAUAGGUACCUGUAAUCUAUAUACAUUUUAUCUAUAACAUCUUAUGGAUUUUAAGGUGGAAGCGGAUAUUAUAUAUGCAGCUGAUAUGUUCAAAAUGAACCAAAAAGUUAAUAGAUCAGAAAAAAUUGUUGGAUGGUGGGCUACAGGUAAUGAAGUGACUACACAUUCAUCAACAAUCCAUGAAUACUACUUAAUUGAAUGUAAAAAUCCUGUACACAUUACUUUGGACACAACAUUAAAGAAUGAUAAUAUGGGUUUGAAAGCAUAUAUUAGGUAAGAUAUUAAAUUGAUAAUAUAGAAAUAUAUAUAUAUAUAUACUAUGGACUAAGUUUACUUAGCUAUAUUAAUGUGAAAUGUGUGAAAAAAGAUUAAUUAAUUUAUCAGUUUGAUAUGGGAUAUAAUAGGUAGGUAUGACAAUAAUAUAAUCCAUUAAUCUAGAGUGUUUGCAACAUGUUUAAUAUAUUAAAACAAAUAUGAUAAAUAAACUAUUGAACAUAUAAAAUAUUAAAAUAAAUUGUUUAGCUUUCUCUGAUAUUCUAUAUUACCUAUAAAAUUAUGGUUGAGUUGCUUUUACCAACGUUUUGUAAGUAAUUUCUAUUUAAUCUGAUUUUUAAAAUGCUUUAAAAUUAUUUUUAAAUCAAAGUAUGACCUUUACUAUAACACUAAUAAUAUUAUUUAAGAAACUACAUUCAUUAAUAAAAUCAAAUAUACUCAAUUUUACGAGUUUUUAGAAUACAUUUGUAAAAGAAAAGUUAAUCCUGGUGACGAGUAUACCACUAUUAUCAAUGAGAAGUUGGGAAGGUAGGAUACAUAAGGUUAUUUAAUUUAUAUUUAUAAGCAUCAAUAAACCAUUGUUAACGAAAAACGAUUUGGAGUGAAGUUCGAUUUAAUAAAACCUUUUUAUAUAGCACCAACUAAAUAAAAUUUCCUUUUCGGAAAGAGUGCUAUGCUACACUUGAUACAUUGGAACAAGUUUUCUUUUCGAAAAGUUAUUUACUGGCAGAAAAAAAAACAUUAAAAUCAAUAGGUCCCUUGCUAUGCUCCGAAUCUAAAAUAUAUAAUUUAAAUUAUCAUUAUACAAUACUAUACUACCAAAAUAUUGUAUUUGACCUAGAGUUACACCAAUUAUAAUUAAUAUGUGUAAAACAUCAAAAUUAUAUUUGAAAAAAAAAAUGACCAAUUUUCAACUAGAAAAAUAUAUAUUACAAUUUUUAAAUCUGUUCAGUAUCUAUUUUUAUAUUCAAAUGUACUUAAUUAAUUUGUACUAAAUAUUUUUUUUAUAUAGCACACAAAUAGGUGUUCCUGGUGGUAAAACUGGAAAUAUGUUUAUUAAUGUUCCAAUUGAAGUUACAUGUUACCAACCUGAAACAGUCGGAUGUAUGUAAUAUAUUUGUUUUAUUAUGUUUACCUAUUUUUGUUUAAUUAUUCAUUUAAAAAUAUCCUUUUAUAUAUAAUUAGUAUUAUUAGUAUUAGUAUUAGUAGUCAUUUAUAGUCUUUAUUAUUAAUUUAUAAUAUAAAUAAUAAGAAAAAAAUGUAUCCACCUCAAAUAUCUUUAUAAUAGAAUUAACUCAAAUGUUAAAGUUAGUUUAUAGAACUCCAUGUGUAAAUAGCAUAUACAUUAUUUUAAUAGUAUCUAGGUGUAUUUCACAUUUCUAAAAUAUUUUCGACUAUGGGAGAUUAUCUUUCUAAAUAUAAUCUAUUACUAUAAUUAAAAAUAAAUAUUUGUUGGAAAAUAAAGUAGGAUAGAAGAAGUGAGGAAGACCAAAAAAGAAAUAGUUGGUUACUAUUGAUAAAAGAUGGUAGGUAUAUCAGGAUGAUGUAGGGAUCAGGUCAAGUGGUGGAAGUAUAGGGUAAUUGGCCCCAAAUAGUUGAGAUGGUGGCAAAACAGAAGAAAAAAUAUAUUAAAUAGGUUCAAAUAUAUAAAUUAAUGCAUGUAUAGGUAGUAAUUUGUACUUAAUUUUUCUUAUUAGUGAGCUUGUGCCAAAAAACAGUAGCCGUUGGACAAAAAUGUCAAGAACCCAUUGCUGAGCUAGUACAAAUAGAAGAGGCAUCAUCAAAAAUCUCAGACCUUUUGGAUGUAGUGAUAUCUUACAUUGAUAAGGUUUUAGCAUCAAGUGACUCUAUCAUAGCUGAAAACAGUCAUAUUGGCCGUAUGUUACUUGAUCUUAUGCAAAGUGUUCCUCAUGUAUCGCCGGAACAAUUUGAAGAAAUGUUCAACUCCAAUGUCAAGGUAUACAGUUUUAACUAUUUUAUCUCAUUAAAAUGUUAAUAACAACAUUUACAUUUUUUUUUUUUAGGAUUUAUUGAUGGUUAUUACUUUGUCUCAGCUGACCAAGACUCAAUUAGAGCUCAACGAAAAACUUACACUACUCAGUUUGUCUUAAGUAUCAAUAUAACCAAUUUCUUUUGUUCAGUUUACCAUUUGCAUUAUAAUCUAACAAAAACUAUUUUUUUGGAAUUUUGAUUAUCUAUAGCCAAAGUAAAUUAUAUUGUUCUGCACUGCUGUACUGGAAUAAAUUCAAUAAAAGAUAUAAAAGUAAAACAAAUUUACAUAUUUAAAAAAUAAAAUAU
rnacentral:lncRNA from 1 species